rnacentral:lncRNA from 1 species
UCAAAUGAGGCAGAGUUGGUGUUCCAACUCCAGUAUACACCGGACUUGGAUAGGCUUGGAUCACUUACUACCUGAAUACAACAAGGUCUGUUUAAUUAAUAAUAAUAUACUACUGGAAAUCAAAUCUGGUAUUUUGUAAAUGUUUUAAACCGACCUGUGCAAGUCUUUUCCCUGCUUCUUCUUCGGACACAUAACCUUUGGUGAUGUACUUUUGAAAUGGAGGGAAGAGAAGCCUGAACAAUGGUAUGUGCUCUCUGAACAAGCCUGUUGUCGCAAUGCAUCCAGGGUAGAGGGAAGCAAAUGUGAUUCCUGUCUCCUCAUGGAAGCGUUUAUGGAACUCUUGCAUGGUAAGCAUGUUACAAACUUUGCUGUCCUUGUAGGCUUUGGCCCCAUCAAAUUCUCCCCCAUCUAUCAUGGCUGAGUUGUUCAAGGCAUUUAAUCCACCUGCAAGUCCCCUUAGAUCCCCGAGGUUUGCCUUUGGAGGCACAUUACCGGCCAAGGUGUUUGUAUUUCCUGAAGUUAAGUAGAGCAAACAUCUGCAUAACUGCAUGACUAAACAGACUUGUGCACAAAUGUUCUAGUUCCUAGAAUUUCUCAACUAUAUUAUAGGUAGUGUAGGAGGAAAAAGGAUUGUUCUAGGAUAUAAAAUCCAAGCAGUUUUUAUUAGUAGUAGUUAACAAGAUUUGUCUUUUAUUUAUGCAUUUAGUUAAUAAGUUGGGAUUUCUUUAGCUUAUAAACAGUAAAUUUUGUGCUGGCAAUUUUUUAUGAGUGCUGAGCUUGGUCCUUUAAUGUCCUAUGAAAAGUCCUAAGACAUCUCAGUAUCCAACAUCUUAGUAUUGGACGCACAAAAUUUAUUGUUUAUAAGCUAAAGAGAUCCCAACUUAUUAACUAGGUGCAUAAAAUGAAUGGAGAAUGCAAAGGGCUAGUCAGAAAAAAGACCUUGCCAUAUUUUUGUGGAGCUGCAGUCAUCCACAUGUGCUGAAAAUACUUUUGCGCUUAGAUCUAAUAUUUCUAACUCAGGCCUAUAUCCUAGUAUUAUUUUGGCCAAAUGGUUAUUCUCUCAAGUCUCAACUUCCUUUCUACACUGAUAAAAUUUCAUAUAUGUUUUUUUUAGAUUACUUGUGCUAGGGAUGAAGAUAUUAUGUUACAGAUUUGAAUUCCUCUGUUCAGCUGUAUUGCAGAAGAAGUUACAGUAUUACCUGUAAUGGAGCCAACAAUGAUGAACCGCUUGUAUGGAUAGUCUGAAUUUUUCAUGUCAUCCAGCA